UUCAAAGUGCCAGAUAAAUGGAUUAGAUUUAAAAUCUAUAUAUGGUUUCACCCUUUGAAU
rnacentral:tRNA from 1 species